rnacentral:rRNA from 1 species
GUUGCAUGCGAAGCUCGGACACGCCGCGUGGAGGAUGAAGGCUUCGGGUUGUAACUCCUUUUAUGGGGGAAGAGAAAGGACGGUACCCCAUGAAUAAGUCUCGGCUAACUACGUGCCAGCAGCCGCGGUAAAACGUAGGAGGCGAGCGUUAUCCGGAUUUACUGGGCGUAAAGCGCGUGCAGGCGGUAUCUUAAGUCGGACGUGAAAGCUCCUGGCUCAACUAGGAGAGGUCGUUCGAAACUAGGAAACUUGAGGGUGGUAGAGGAGAGUGGAAUUCCCGGUGUAGUGGUGAAAUGCGUAGAUAUCGGGAGGAACACCAGUGGCGAAGGCGGCUCUCUGGGCCAUUCCUGACGCUAAGACGCGAAAGCUAGGGGAGAGAACGGGAUUAGAAACCCCGGUAUUCCUACCGUAAACUAUGUCACUAGGUGUAGGGGGUAUCCAACCCCCCUGUGCUGUA